rnacentral:tRNA from 1 species
GCCAACGUGGCAUAGUGGUUUGGGCAUUGGACUAAGACUCUGGAGACCAGGGUUUGAUUCCCUGCUCAGCCA